UAUGUUUAUUAAUUUCGUACGAAUUAAUUUAAAUAAUUGAGAGUCACUGGUAUGAUACAUCGAACGAUUAUCUCGUGCGAAUAUGUUCUAUGUUCACACCAAUGUAGUUGACAAUUAAACUUCGACAAGUAAGGGCGUCGUAUUUCUGCUUUUAUAAAAAUAAAAAAAUAAAAGAAACUUUAUACACAAGUCAUAUUUAUAAACUAAUCAGUUCCAUAAGGAUACAUUAUUGAAUAGAAAGUACGUUUAACCGGCUGAACGAUGGUGGAUUAUAGCAAAUGGAAAGAUAUUGAGAUUUCAGACGAUGAGGAUGAUACUCACCCAAACAUUGAUACACCAUCAUUAUUUAGAUGGCGUCAUCAAGCAAGGGUUGAAAGAAUGGAAGAAAGGAGACGUGAGCAAGAGGAGCAUCAAAGGAAAAAGACAGAAACUCGACAAAAAAUGAAAGAAACAGAGGAAAAAAUUAAAAAAUUAGAAAAUGAACAAAAGGAAGCAGAUUUAACCGAACUAAAAAAAAUUUUGCAAGAUCUUGAAAAAGAAGAUUUAAAGAUUAAAGAAAGGGAAGAGGAAAUGAAGAAAAAAGAGAAAUUAACACCUUGGAAUGUUGAUACUAUUGGACAAGAUGGUUUUACAAAAACAGUGAUUAAUAAGAGAUCACCACGUAAAGGAGAUGACAAUGGGUUGUCAGAUGAAGAGAAAGAAAAAAAAAUGAAAGAAUUUGCAAAAGAAAACGAGAAGAAGUUGAAAGAAUUUGGUAUGCUCGGAAGGUAUGAAGAUAGUAAGAAAUUUUUACAAGAUAAUCCCCAGUUAGUAUGCGAAAAUACUGCAAAUUACUUGGUUAUCUGGUGUAUUAACCUAGAAAUAGAAGAAAAACAUGAUCUAAUGGAACACGUCGCGCAUCAAUGUAUAUGUAUGCAAUAUAUUUUAGAAUUAUCAAAACAACUAGAUGUUGAUCCAAGAGCAUGUGUAGGUUCCUUCUUUAGUCGUAUUCAAAAUGCUGAGUUAGAACAUAGAAAUUCUUUCGAAGAUGAAUUGAGAGCAUUUAAAGAAAGAAUACGUAAAAGAGCUGUUGAAAAAGUAGCAGAUGCCCUUAAAGAAGCUGAGGAAGAGGAGAAAAAAGCGCGUCGAGGUCCAGGUGGUCUUGACCCUCUUGAAGUAUUUGAAAGUCUACCAGAGCCUCUACAAAAAUGCUUUGAAACCCAAGAUCAUGCUUUAUUGCAAGAAACGUUAGCAGUGAUGCCACGAAAAGAAGCAUUCUAUCACAUGAAACGAUGUGUUGAUAGUGGUCUUUGGUUACCAGAUGCAAUAGCUAAAGAAUUGAUAGAGGCAGGAGUAACUGCGGAUGAUGCAGAGGCUAAAGAAUUGAUAGAGGGAGGAGUAGCUGCAGACAAUGUAGAAGCUAAAGAUUUGAUAGAGGAAGGAGUAACUGCGGACGAUGUAGAAGAAACCUCGGCGGCCAAUCCUGAAUAACGCGUGUCUGUAAAUUACAUAUGUUGACUUUCAUGACUCAUUUAUGCAAGUAUAUAUAUAUAUAUAUAUAUAUACAUAUGUAUAUAUAUAUAUAUAUAAUCCAUUUACAUUUUCUAUAAAUGUAUCAUUAUAUAAAGUAUAACACAAAGAAAAUAUAUUUAUUGAUUAUUGAAACUAUGUAUAUGUGCUCGAUUAACGCACAUCAUAUAAAUCUUUAUAUUUCUAAUUGAUGAAUGAGUUAAUGUUAAUGCUUUAUAUUUUAUUUCUUAUACUUUAAUAGAUGUUAAUCAUUUGUAUUAUCUCCUUAAUAAAACUGCUUUUCAUUACAAAUAAAU